CUUCCUCCUUCCAAUGCGCCGGCCACGCGCACACACCCUCGUGCUGGGAUUGGUGGAAGAGCCCAGGGCUCGCUCGCGGCAGAUGCCCUUUCUGUCGAGUGCCGGGACAAGGCAUCGGGCGCUCCUCCUGCAUCGCGGUGUGCCAGAAAGCAGGCAAAAUGAGUCAAAUAUAGAGAAGAAUGGUUGCAGGAUUAUCUCAGGAACAUAGCUGGCAGCCAAACGGAAACACAAGAGAUUCUGCAGACACUGGAAAGUGAAAAUCAAUCUUAUCUAUGACAGAGUUUGGAUGGGAGUGCUUUGGAAUGUCUGAAAAUAUCCUGAUGCAGACGCUAGAUUACGGGACAAGGCAAACAGCAGAGACAAGUGUAGAAAUAAUGACCGGAAGCUCAUGGACAAAAGGGAGAGCAUUGGUAGUGGCCAGAAGCUUGGGAAUGUGGAGAGAAAAAAUAUAGCCUUUGGAGAGAUCCUGGGCAACAAUGAAUUGGGUGAACAAGAGUGCCCGGCUUCUGAUAGAAUGAAGAAGCAAAUGCCUUCUUUGUUCUCUUGCACUCUUAAUGAAAAACGUAUGUGAAGAGGUCUCUGCAGGACCCCUACAUAAUUCUGAAGACCUCUAAUGAUCAACUUUCAGUGUUUCUCUUUCUAGACAAAAGAGUAUAAGGCUAUUUGGUCUUUUCUCUUAGUUCUGGUGUUAUCCUUGUAAAUUUUUUUGCAUCUUCUCAUGUGCCUAUAUAUCUUUCAUAAUGUAAAGAUAACAGAAUUGUACACAGUUUAGUUUAUUCCAAAUGCAAUUUCAAUUUAACUUAACUUCUUUGUUUUACAUUCUAUUCCUCUAGAAUUUUGAAUAAUAUUUCUCUUGAAAUUGCACUUGAAUAUUUUAUAAUUGUUAAGGUGAAGGAUGAUUGAAAUUGUGGGAAAUAUAUGCAUAGAUUUGCUUUUAAAUGGUGAUGGUGUCCCCCUCUCCAUGAUUCUGUUGAUACACAACUUGCAAUUUGUUUGGGUGCAGUAUAUCAUCAUCACACCUUAUUUGUGGCUCAUUCUUAAAGGAUUGCCUCGGAACAAGCAGAAUUUUUGAACUUGACACCUGUGUUAUUCAACACUUGUGAAAACCCUUAAUUUAAGUGGUAGACUAUUGUUUUAGGUUCAAACCUUCCCAAAAGAAUGAUCUGUCCAAAAUGAUUAAAGGUUUAUUCAGAAAAUAUCAAGUUUGACCAUUACUCAGAGAAAGGUUAAGCAGUAUUAAUUUCUCCAUUCCUUUCAGUAGAUCAAAAUUAUUUAAGUAUUAUUUUUCUAAAAUAUUCUUUGUUCUACAGAGUUUUUGAUCUAAUACUUCUUACACUAUUCUUUUUAAACACUUUUGAGAUCUUGAAGAAUCAUUUGAAGACGCAUAUUUUAACUAUUCAAGUUUUUUGUAUCUAUUACAUUUCAAGUUGAGUGAAUGCAACACGUUGGAAUGCUUACUGCAUUAUGUGAUUAGUAAUUAUUUACUUAAUUAUUUGCGGCAAACUAAAACUUCAUUGUGAAAAUGAUUUUCAGCAACUGCCUGUCAAAAGCAUGUUUUGCCCCAGUUCUUGACAAACAAAUUAAAAUUUUUAAUAAGUCAAAUAUUCAGUUACAGGUAAAGACCUGGAUCUGUUUACUCACUACUUGUAGAAAAAUCAUAUAUUUAGCUUUUUAACAGGGAAUGCAUGUUGCCCUCUUCUUCUUCCAUUCUCUAGUAUUUUAUAGCUAUCAAUGUUGAUUUUUGAUCAUUUGUUACAGUUUGAUUUUUAAAGAAACUGUUAAUGCUCAUUCCUAAAAUGUUCUCUCUCUGUAGUGUAUACCAGCCAUUGUAGGUAACAGAAAUUUUGUUACUUGGUUAUUUGAAAUUCCAAAUAUAUCAUCUGUAUCUCUUUCAAGAGACACAAGUUGUUCCUAAAUUAGUGACUCUUACUUAUGGCUAUAUAUUCAGAUGAUCAUUUAUUAUU